rnacentral:rRNA from 1 species
UACGGAGGUGCGAGCGUUGUUCGGAAUCACUGGGCGUAAAGGGCGUGUAGGCGGUCCGCUAAGUCUGAUGUGAAAGCCCGGGGCUCACCCCCGGAAGGGCAUUGGAAACUGACGGACUCGAGUCCCGCAAGAGGAGGGUGGAAUUCCUGGUGUGAGCGGUGAAAUGCGUAGAUAUCAGGAGGAACACCGGUGGCGAAGGCGGCCCUCUGGACGGUGACUGACGCUGAGACGCGAAAGCGUGGGGAGCAAACAGG